rnacentral:rRNA from 1 species
AGCUGAUCACUGGGUGUAAAGCGUGCGCAAGCGGUUUUGUAAGACAGAGGUGAAAUCCCCGGGCUCAACCUGGGAACUGCCUUUGUGACUGCAAGGCUGGAGUGCGGCAGAGGGGGAUGGAAUUCCGCGUGUAGCAGUGAAAUGCGUAGAUAUGCGGAGGAACACCGAUGGCGAAGGCAAUCCCCUGGGCCUGCACUGACGCUCAUGCACGAAAGCGUGGGGAGCAAACA